rnacentral:rRNA from 1 species
GAGGCCUCUGGGUCACCUCCCACCCGUGUCUAUCGUACCUUGUUGCUUCGGCGGGCCCGCCGUUUCGACGGCCGCCGGGGAGGCCUUGCGCCCCCGGGCCCGCGCCCGCCGAAGACCCCAACAUGAACGCUGUUCUGAAAGUAUGCAGUCUGAGUUGAUUAUCGUAAUCAGUUAAAACUUUCAACAACGGAUCUCUUGGUUCCGGCAUCGAUGAAGAACGCAGCGAAAUGCGAUAAGUAAUGUGAAUUGCAGAAUUCAGUGAAUCAUCGAGUCUUUGAACGCACAUUGCGCCCCCUGGUAUUCCGGGGGGCAUGCCUGUCCGAGCGUCAUUGCUGCCCUCAAGCACGGCUUGUGUGUUGGGCCCCCGUCCCCCUCUCCCGGGGGACGGGCCCGAAAGGCAGCGGCGGCACCGCGUCCGGUCCUCGAGCGUAUGGGGCUUUGUCACCUGCUCUGUAGGCCCGGCCGGCGCCAGCCGACACCCAACUUUAUUUUUCUAAGGUUGACCUCGGAUCAGGUAGGGAUACCCGCUGAACUUAAGCAUAUCA